rnacentral:rRNA from 1 species
UACGUAGGGGCCGAGCGUUGUCCGGAUUCAUUGGGCGUAAAGAGCGUGUAGGCGGCCAGGUAGGUCGGUUGUGAAAACUGGAGGCUCAACCUUCAGAGGUCGACCGAAACCAUCUGGCUAGAGUCCGGGAGAGGAGAGUGGAAUUCCUGGUGUAGCGGUGAAAUGCGCAGAUAUCAGGAAGAACACCCGUGGCGAAAGCGGCUCUCUGGAACGGUACUGACGCUGAGACGCGAAAGCGUGGGGAGCGAACGG